rnacentral:rRNA from 1 species
UCUGGUUGAUCCUGGCGGAGGUUACUGCUAUCGAGGUUCGACUAAGCCAUGCGAGUCGAAUGUAGCAAUACAUGGCGUACUGCUCAGUAACACGUGGACAACCUACCCUUAGGUCGGGGAUAAACCCGGGAAACUGGGUAUAAUACCCGAUAGUCCUCGGAUGCUGGAAUGCACCGAGGUCUAAAGCUCCGGCGCCUAAGGAUGGGUCUGCGGCCUAUCAGGUAGUAGUGGGUGUAGCGUACCUACUAGCCUACGACGGGUACGGGUUGUGAGAGCAAGAGCCCGGAGAUGGAUUCUGAGACACGAAUCYAGGCCCUACGGGGUGCAGCAGGCGCGAAAACYUUACAAUGCUGGMAACAGCGAUAAGGGRACCUCGAGUGCCAGGUUACAAAUCUGGCUGUCGUGAUGCCUAAAAAGCAUURCAUAGCAAGGGCCGGGCAAGACCGGUGCCAGCCGCCGCGGUAACACCGGCGGCUCGAGUGGUAACCGYUAUUAUUGGGUCUAAAGGGUCUGUAGCCGGCCGGAUAAGUCUCUUGGGAAAUCUGGCAGCUUAACUGUCAGGCUUUCAGGAGAUACUGUCYGGCUCGAGGCCGGGAGAGGUGAGAGGUACUUCAGGGGUAGGGGUGAAAUCUUGUAAUCCUUGAAGGACCACCAGUGGCGAAGGCGUCUCACCAGAACGGACCUGACGGCAAGGGAC